AGUAACACGUGAGCAACCUGGCUCUAAGAGGGGGGACGAACAGUUGGAAACGACUGCUAAUACCGCAUAACGUAUCGGGAUGGCAUCUUCCUGAUACCAAAGAUUUUAUCGCUUAGAGAUGGGCUCGCGUCUGAUUAGAUAGUUGGCGGGGUAACGGGCCCACCAAGUCGACGAUCAGUAGCCGGACUGAGAGGUUGAACGGCCACAUUGGGACUGAGACACGGCCCAGACUCCUACGGGAGGCAGCAUG
rnacentral:rRNA from 1 species